ensembl:lncRNA
GUACAUGGCAGCAUUUCUCUUUGUGUUUUACGUGGAAAAAAGAGAUGUGUCCUGAAAAAAAAAAAGAAAAGAAAAACUGUGUAUGUUGUUGACUGAAUAUUCGUCUCCUUAAACGUCUUAAAAGUCGUGGGUUAAAAUUCGAACCCCAGUGUGGCUGUCCUCGGAGUAAGGACAUGAUUGCUUACGUUAAUGAGGUCGUAAGGGUGGGGUCCUGACCCGAUGGGAUUGGCGCCCUUGUGGAGGAGACCUCAGAGCUCACUUUCUCUUUCUCCCCCCCUUUCCCUCCCUCUGUCUCUCUUCCUGUGAGGACCCAGCAAGGAGGUAGCCAUCAAGAAGCAUCUUCACCGAACCCCGCCCUCCCUGCUGGACCUUGACCGUGGACUCCCAGCCUCCAGGACUCUGAGGAAGUGAACAUUGGUGUUGAAGUCACCCAGCCGACAGAGGGUCCUUCCAGAAGCUGCCGUGGUGUUGAUCGCAGCGGCCCAGCACUGCGGGUCUUGCGGGUUUUCUGAGACCAGGUCAGAGAUGAGCUCAGAGCCGCAGGGGUGGAAGAGGAAGCUCCCAAGAUCAGCGCCGUGAGGCACCCUCCCCUGGCCGUGGGGGGGUCGUGCCUGCAGACAAGGGUCAACAGUGGGGCACGGAGGGUGCUGCCUGGCCUCCGAGGGAGCAAGGUGGGUGGAGUCACAAGUUUCGAGCUCUGGGUGCCAGCGGGUACCAGCCGCUGUCUCCACGGGGACACAGGAAGCUGCUGGGGGUGAGGGCGGGGCCGGAGCCCAGGAGAAAGUGCCGUCAUGUCACGGCUCCCGUGGGCCCCUCCAGCCCUGAUGGUUUGAUUCUGAAACAGCUCCAGGAGAGACAGGAAACAGGAAGUGAGAAGGGGGCGGGGAGCGGCUAUAGAGAUUCACGAUGGAGCAGAAUCAGAGGCACAAGCAGGGAGGGAGGGGGCGCUGGCCCUCAGUCAGGCUUCACUGGGACAUCCGCCCUCAGCAUCCACGACCCAUGGGCUGUCAGCUCCCUGCCUGUCCCUUCAUUCAUCCCACAGACGUCCCCCUGUGCCUUCUGGGGCCCCCUGGGGACUCAGCAGUAGACAGGACCAGCCCAGACCCAGAAAGCCCUCAAGUCUGCUGUGGGUUCAAUUGUGACCCCCCAAGAUAUGUUCAAGCCCUACCCCCGUGAACAGGAGGAACAGACCACGGUACCUGGGAAGUGAGGUCUUUGCAGGUGUGACUUAGUUACGAUGGGGUCCUCGGCUUAGGGUGGACCCUAAAUCCAGUACGCCCCGUGGCCUCGCAGGAGCCAGGUGGGGUCAUAGAUUCACAGAGGGGGGCUGUGCGACCAGGAGGAGGAGGUUGGGUGAUGACAGCUGCCAGGCGAGGAACGCCCAGGACCCCUGGCCACCCCAGAGGGCUGUGCCCUGCCAACACCCCAAUUUGGGGCUUCUGGCUCCAGGGCUGUGUGAAAACAAACUUCUCGUGUUUUAAGUGCCCGCGUUGGUGGUGCUUUGUCACGGCGGCCCUGGACAUGUCAGCGAGCGGGAUGGAGAAGACUGACCUCCAGCAUGAAUUCACAGGGUCCAGGCGCGCAAGCUGGGACCUGCAGGGGAUGCUCUGGGGCCCAGAGCUUGGGCCCUCAGAGGAGCUGGUGGCACGGAGUCGCCCCAGGCUCAGGGAGGCAAGAUGCAGCCCCAGCCCGGCUCAUCAUCCGUCCUUCCAGCCACAGUCCGGGACUGUGUGGCCCUGAGGGCCGCGCCUCUCUUGAAGUAGGUGUCAAAGCCCCAGGUCACCUCCGGCUCCUGCCAGCAAGGUGGUGGCCUCCACAGGGUAGGUGACAGGCCAGAGUCACUCAGGGCCGAGUCACAGGCGGUCAACGUCAGUUUCAGCAGCAGGUAUGUGGGUCAGAUCGGGAGGGCAGUUAAGCCUGGAAGGCCGUAUCUAGAGCACGGUGACAGGAGACGCCCCACCCACCCCCACUCCCCCCACCAGGGCACACCCCGCGCCCCAGCUCCAGCCGCCAGCCUGCGUCUGAGGUUACAGCUGCAGAGAGGCUCCCUUCCCGAGGGGGUGGCUUCCAAGGCUGCGAACAGAUUCGCAGCUCCAGGGAGCAGGAUCCAGAGCCUGAGGGACCCAUGGGAAGAGAAGGGGGGGGCACGAUCCCUCCCUCGGUCCCCGCUUCCUUUCUGAGCAGCCUUGGAAGGGACUCCGGCCGUGCCCUGGUCAGCAAACAGGGACAGCGUGCCUCCUCUGGGUGGCCUAGGAGCUAAGACCCCAGCACGUGGCCAGAGCUUCAAAAGGCUGGCGUUCCUGCUCCCUCCUGUGAAGACUAAGUACCAGACUGACGUGGACAUGAGCUUGUGCUAGAAAGGGCUGUGCAGUGUCAGCCAUGACACAUCCAUGUUUGGGACCCGCUGGAUGCACAGAAGCCUUGUCCCUGGUGACCUGGGGACAGAUAGGCAGGCGGCAAAGGCGUGGCCGGGAGGUGGACCCAAUGGGGGCUGGAGGUGCUGGGGGAGUCGUCCCCACGUGUGGUGCAGGGGUCUGCUCAGCCUGGGCCAUGUAAAGUCGUCGGCCAAGGUUAAGGCAAGCACGUGACCUGUGUCAGCCAGGACAGUGUGGGUCAUGAGCACAAGCAGGACCCAGGGCGGGGGUCAGCUGGCCAACCUCGGGGAGAUCCGCCAAGGGUGCAGGAAUGGCCCUGGGCCAGGAAGUCUUAGCUUAAAAGGGCAACGCUCAGAGCCAUCAUGGGACAGGAGGAUCCAUGACCAGACCACAGGACCAGGGCACAGAGGCCGAGCUGCAGCAGGAACUGGGUCCAGGGGCUGGAGGCCAAGGUCAGGCACCAUAAUUGGGGCUACCGCUCAGAAAGAACACUGGGGCCGUCCGGUUGCAGUUGGACCAACCAGGAAAGAAAUAUUGGUCCAGGGAGUUCCCACUGUGGCUCAGAGGGUUGAGAACCUGACUAGUAUCCAUGAGGAUGCAGGUUCGAUCCCUGGCCUCGCUCGAUGGAUUAAAGGACCAGGCGUUAAGGAUCUGGCGUUGCCGUGAGCUGUGGUGUAGGUCGCUGAUGCAGUUCAGAUCUGGAAUUGCUAUGGCGGUGGUGUAGCCCAGCAGCUGCAGCUCUGAUUCCGCCUCUAGCCUGGGACCCUCCAAAUACUCUGAAUGCCCCCCCCUCCAAAAAAAGAGAACUCUCUCUGGACACUCAGCCCUGAGGCCAGCCCCUGCUCCCCUGGGGCUGGACAGGAUUCACGCCUAAGGCUUUGGUAAUGGGUACUUAAAACUGGGAACUUCCAGAUGAGUAAACUUCUUUUCUAUUUUCCGAAAGUUCGAAGGUUUUCUUUUGUUAAUAAGCAUGUUGGAAGCGAUGUUAGGAAAAACAUACCCUUUCAGAAAAACCUCAAAGUAUGUGAAAAGAAAGUCCCCCGGAGUCCCGGCGCUUUGCUGAGGAUUUUCUGGGGAAGGGAGGGCCCGG